GACGAACGCUGGCGGCGUGCCUAACACAUGCAAGUCGAACGGUAAGGCCCUGCCUUUGUGGGGUGCUCGAGUGGCGAAGGAGGAUGCAACACGUGAGUAACCUACCUUUAAACUUAGGGUGACAUCAGGAAACACGGAAUAAUACCAGCUAGGAGCUCCUGCUGCAUGGUGGGGGUUGGAAAGUGUCGUCGGAUGGGAAUGGAGUCGAGGCUUACUAGCCUGUUGGUGGGGUAGUGGCCUACCCAGGCUAUGACGGGUAGCCGGCCUGAGGGGGUGACCGUGCACAUCGGGGCUGAAGUACGGCCCAGACUCCUACGGGAGGCAGCGGUGGAGAAUAUUGCGCAAUGGGCGGAAGCCUGAUGUAGCAACGCCGCGUGCGGGAGAACGGGUUUCGGGUUGUAGACCAGGUUGGCCUGUGACGACGCGUAAGUGACGGUAAUGGAUAACGAAGCACCGGCUGACUACGUG
rnacentral:rRNA from 1 species